rnacentral:lncRNA from 1 species
CGCCUUAUUGACAGAGUACUGUAGCUUUGAGGAAGAGCUAAAAGUUGAGUCUGCUUUAUUUUAGUCCAUUCCCUAUUAUUGUAAAAGUUUUUAAAUUUGCAUUCACUGUAUCAGCCUGCAUUUUCCAAACUCUACACAAUUCCUGAUACAAUAAAGGGGAAACCAACUAGCAUGCAAAUUACAGCUUCCUGCAGCUGACAAAAUUCAUAAUUUUCUAACUUUGCAUACAUUCAAC